AACCUUUACACUGCACGACAGUGCGAUAGGGGGACUCCGAGUGCGAGGGCAUAUAGCCCUCGCUUUUCUGAACCGUAAGGUGGUUCAGGAACAAGGACUGGGCAAGACCGGUGCCAGCCGCCGCGGUAAUACCGGCAGCCCGAGUGAUGGCCGAUCUUAUUGGGCCUAAAGCGUCCGUAGCUGGCCGCACAAGUCCAUCGGAAAAUCCACCCGCUCAACGGGUGGGCGUCCGGUGGAAACUGUGUGGCUUGGGACCGGAAGGCGCGACGGGUACGUCCGGGGUAGGAGUGAAAUCCUGUAAUCCUGGACGGACCACCAAUGGGGAAACCACCUCAGGAAGACGGACCCGACGGUGAGGGACGAAAGCUAGGGUCUCGAACCGGAUUAGAUACCCGGGUAGUCCUAGCUGUAAACGAUGCUCGCUAGGUGUGCCGUAGGCUACGAGCCUGCGCUGCGCCCUAGGGAAGCCGAGAAGCGAGCCGCCUGGGAAGUACGUCUGCAAGGAUGAAACUUAA
rnacentral:rRNA from 1 species